UUACUGCAAUAUAUUCCUUUUAUUUAUUAUUGUCUCAGAGGAAGAAUGUUACAAUGUAGUGUUUGAAGCAGCAUUUACUUGGCAGCAGAGGACAAAGGAUGCAUACAAACACAGGCAGAAAAACAACUUUAUACAUAAUCUCAUAUUCAGAAGAAAAAUAAAAGCAACCAAAUUCACUAUUGAGACCUUUUUUACUUAUGUAGGGGGAUAUUUUCAAGGAUUCUUUGCCUAGAGAAUUAUGUAGCUUGAUAAAAGCACUUGGCAGAGAACAGAAUAUAAAGCUAUUUCCAAUACUACUCAUGAAGAUAGGUCUGAGGUAGAAAGGUGGUCACGGCUUUCCUCUUCUGUAAAAUGUGUGGGGUUUUUCUUGUCAAAUAACUACACUAUUUUAUUUAUUUAUUUAUUUUAAAUAGGUGAAGCAUUUGUAGGAGCCAGCAUCUUCUAUUCCCACCUUGACAAUUUUGCUGCACUUGCUCAGAAUACUUAGCAUUUAUAUAAAGCAUUUCAGACACUAACUAAGCAAGCCCUACAACACCUUUGAGAGGUAAGUACUAUCAUCCCCAUUUUACAGAUGGGAAAACAGAGGCAGAGUGGUUAAACGAUUUGUCAAAGGUUUCAGAAAGAACUGGCACUGGAGUCAAUGCUGUGCCCAAAUUACUCCCUGAGCAGCAGCACUCCAAGAGCAAAUACUAGGGUGCACGACAGCCUAGUUGGCACCGCAUCGCAAAAGCACUAGAAAUUCCUGACGUGCUGUCUUACUGUUCUCUAGCAUUUUUCAGUAGCAAUAGAGAAUUUACAACUCUUCCAAUACCAUUUUGAGAUAUCUUUUUUCUUCAGUAAUAAUUAAGAACAACACUGUUUUGUUUCUCUCCACUAUACAUGAAAUAUAUUGCAUGCAGUUUUACCAGUUAAAGGUAUGUUCUGAAAUUAAAGCAAGUGUCCAUGCAGCAUCAUAAACUCUGAAGGCAUUAAAAUUUCUUAAUAAUAAUUUUAAAACUAGAGAUCAGCUGAUCAGUGACAUAACUUUCCCGUAAUUAUCCCUAUUUAAGUACAUAAAUAAAUGAUUUCAAAGAUAAAGAUGAGUUGCAAGAUUACAAUGCCCAAGGGUAGUAUUUAAGAGCAUUGCAGUUAUUAAGAAAAUGCUCCAUCACUAAUAGUAUUGGAAAGGGCUUUCUAAUUGUCUCUUCAUCUCCAAGAGGCAGACACAAGAAGGGGAUCUUACAGAAAUGAGCUUUACUUCACAGACUGUAAAUUCCAAAACUUGAAGCAAGUUUGGCACAGCAGGGAAUGGCAAAGCUUUGUCUCUGAACAAAGUUGGGAAAGAUUACACUAACUUAGACCUUACUAUAUAAACAAGCUAUCAUCUAAGUCCUCUUUUUAGCUAUCUAUCUCCCGAUUCAAAGUAAAGUGAGGCUUAAAAAAAUAAUCCUCCAAAUGGAGUGUAUUGGCUGGAAAUAACCAAAAGUUAAAAAUACCAUUUUGGUGAUGUGUGAGGAUGAUGAGUUGAAAUGAGAGUUUACCUUGUUUAACAGCGUUAAAAUAUUGCAGCUUGUACCCAACAGCAAUUUCUGUUAACUAGUAACAAUAAUGCAGAUUAUGGGAACUUCAUAUGCCAACCCUGAAAACAAUUCAAGGGUAUUCUGAAAACUGUGUGGUCAGAUGGUUAGCAUAUAAAUAAUCAGUACAGGAUAUUAAAUGUGUAAGAAUACAACUAAGGGUAUUUUUACAAUGUAAAAGCAAAGAUCUGAAGGGAAUGUAUAAAUGUAACAUUUUGCUCCAAACUCCUUACGCAGUUCUCUUUACGAUUAUCAAAAAGAACAUAUAUAAAGCCCC
rnacentral:lncRNA from 1 species